rnacentral:tRNA from 1 species
GGGUUAAUGGCAGAAAAAGAGAAUGUAUGGGGUUGUAGUUCCUAUUGUAACUGGUUGGUUUUAGCUCA